CUCACUCUAGGCUGCGGGCCGCCGCUCACUUUAGCCCACCGUGUGUGACGCUGUGUGUUUCAUUGCGAAAGCGAAACUACUUUGUUUGGCCUUCCAAAAGAGGACACGACUA